CAGUGCUAAAGGAGAACUGUUCAAGAUUCCAGCUGUAGAUUUAAUACUUUCUGUUUACUUGUGUAUUUAAUUUUCUCCAAAAUUACAGAAUGGCUACUUCUAUGAUAUUUUCAUUCAUUCUUCUUGCAUUUUCUUUAGAAUGCAGAGCACAGGAUAGCGUUACUCAGCCAACAGAAGUUCCAACUGCUUUUGAGGGUGGAACUGUGACUCUUGAUUGCACAUACAAAACCAGCACAUUCCCAACCCUUUACUGGUACCAAUAUAAAACAAACCAAUUCCCCAAAUACAUGCUAAAGAUAUACUCUGGAUCAAGAGAUAAGGACAAAGAGUUUGAGGAGAGAUUUAAUGCAAAUCUCAACACAUCUUCAACAUCAGUCCCACUGACAAUCCAGGAUCUGCAUGUGUCUGACUCUGCUGUGUACUACUGCGCUCUGCAGCCCACUACAGUGUUAUCACAAAUCAAACUUCAAGUCAAAUGUGAUACCAAAAUCAACCUGAAGAUGGCAUUAUAAACUCAUUACUGCCACCCUUGCAUCACAAGAACCCUUCAAGAAUAUGUUAGUGGAAUCAUCAUUCAAGCUGCAAGGAGUUACUGCAU